ensembl:lncRNA
GGAAAAUCAACAGCAUCCUUGCAAGAGAGGACUUUAUUGUAUUGUCUGCGGAGCAGAAAUACUACCAAAAGCAGAAGGCACGAAUGCCAGUUUAUCUUUAAAUGCUGUUUGGAAUGAGAAGGAAUAUUCUCUGACAAGUUACUUACAGUGCAGGAACUGCCUCGUCCAGUCAGUGUCUCCAUGCCCUUUGAUAGGAGCUGAGGUUACUCAUUUCAGCAAUAAAGCACAGUCAUGGGUAAGUAAAUUGGUUUAUUUUGUAUAUUAGAAUGA